GUAAGGAAUAUUGGUCAAUGGAGGCAACUCUGAACCAGCCAUGCCGCGUGCAGGAAGAAGGCCCUAUGGGUCGUAAACUGCUUUUAUACGGGAGAAAACCUGGGUACGUGUACCCAGUUGAUAGUACUGUAAGAAUAAGGAUCGGCUAACUUCGUGCCAGCAGCCGCGGUAAGACGAAGGAUCCAAGCGUUAUCCGGAUUCAUUGGGUUUAAAGGGAGCGUAGGCGGGUUUAUAAGUCAGUGGUGAAAGCCGAUCGCUUAACGAUCGAACUGCCAUUGAUACUGUAGACCUAGAGUAUAGAUGAUGUUGGCGGAAUAUGACAUGUAGCGGUGAAAUGCAUAGAUAUGUCAUAGAACACCGAUUGCGAAGGCAGCUGACAAAACUAUAACUGACGCUGAGGCUCGAAAGUGCGGGGAUCAAACAGGAUUAGAAACCCGGGUAGUCC
rnacentral:rRNA from 1 species